rnacentral:lncRNA from 1 species
GAGGCCCUUUCCAUAUUCCGCUUCAUUCUCCCCUCCUGGCGUGCCUCAAGGAACGACCACUGUCCCCAGGUUACAGGUGCUUCUUCACCCCAACAAGGCUCAAUCAAGUGUGUUCUUCUCUGGGAAGCUGCAGACAUCUGACCCCAGGCCACAGAGUCAUACCCAGUCUGGCUCCCACAGCCCUCCCAGGCUGUCUGGUGUCAGUGCAGUGCUGUGGAUGGGAACACACCUCUACCAUGUUGAGCUGCUCUGAGGUUUAAAUGCGUUACUGCUAAUUGGGAUCUUGGAACAACUCCUGGUGCAUAGACACACACAGGACAGACUGGAAUAAAUACUGGUGGUUUAUCACAGGAAGGCUGGCCUCAGCUUGGGAGAGUAAGCGUGCAUGCAUACACAGCCAGCUGAUUUAUUGUGACCCGAGCCAAGCACUGAACAGAGCGAGGCCAUUUAUCUACUUGGUUGGAGGAGAGGUCAAGAGAGAGAAGUCAGAGAUUAAGCUAAAUAGUUCAGUGCCUUUGUUAACUCCCGGGGCGUCUCCUCUGCGCGGCUUGUGUUCCCAGGGAAUACUGUCAUGAGCUCCACAGGGAAGACUGGACUCCUUCUUGGGGAGACAGCCCUGGCCCCAGGGAGCAGCGUGGCCAAGGACAUUCUCAGCCUCUUGGGGUUGCCAAAAGGGAGCAGAAGCAGGAGGAGGGAGGGGGGGAGCUGGGAGGAACACCCCAUCGUGGAAGACCUGCUGCCAAUGCGGGGCUGCAGUCCCAGUCUCUGCCGCCACCAGACCCUGGUCAGGAGACAUCACAGACAGGCUCCCUUCUCCCGCCUUCAUUCAGGGCUCUGCUCAAACAGCCCAUUUGCAAUAGGACUUCCUGCAGUGUCCUAGUUAAAUACCCCAACCCAUGCCCCCAUCGUACGCUAUCCCUUCCCCUGCUUUAUGUUUCUUCAUGGUGCUCAGCACCCUGACAUAUCUAUGUCUGUAUUUGUUUACUUAUUGUUGGGUCUGUUUUUGAAUGAAGUGCUAUGUCUGUGGUGUAAAGUCCAACAUGUGGCAGAUUCUAGGUGCUCAAUAAAUAUCUAUUCAGUGAAAAAAAAAAAAAAA